AGUCUGGUGCCAGCAGCCGCGGUAAUUCCAGCUCAUUUAGUGUAUAUUAAAGUUGUUGCAGUUAAAAAGCUCGUAGUCGAUCAUCUAGUGCUGGCUGCUUCGGCUUCGGCUGCGGUACGCGAGUGCUAUCUGCUCGAGAACUUUAUCGGUCCUAACUGGUCGAUGAUGCUGAUCGGGCACUUUCCUGAGAAAAAAUUAGAGUGUUCAAAGCAGGCUAAUGCCUUGAAUAUUACAGCUUGGAAUAAUAGAAUAAGACUGAAGUCUCUUUUGUUGGUUAUGAACUUUAGUAAUGGUUAAUAGGAACAGUCGGGGGUAUUAGUAUUUAAUUGUCAGAGGUGAAAUUCUAUGAUUUAUUAAAGACUAACUUAUGCGAAAGCAUUUGCCAAGGAUGUUUUCAAUUGAUCAAGAACGAAAGUUAGGGGAUCAAAGACGAUCAGAUACCGUCCUAGUCUUAACUAUAAACGAUUCCGACUAUGGAUCAGAAGGGUUUUCCAAUCCCUUUUGGCACAUUAUGAGAAAUCAAAGUCUUUGGGUUCUGGGGGAAGUAUGGACACAAGUCUGAAACUUAAAGGAAUUGACGGAAGGGCACACCAGGUGUGGAGCCUGCGGCUUAAUUUGACCCAACACGGGGAAACUUACUAGGGCAAGACUAAGGUUGGAUUGACAGAUUGAGAGCUCUUUCUUGAUUCUUAGGGUGGUGGUGCAUGGCCGUUCUUAGUUGGUGGAGUGAUUUGUCUGGUUAAUUCCGUUAACGAACGAGACCUCAACCUGCUAAACUAGGAGCCGGAUUAAACAUUCGGUUUCCUUCUUAGAGGGACAAAGUGUUCAAGCACUGGGAAGCGAGGCAAUAACAGGUCUGUGAUGCCCCUAGACGUCCUAGGCCGCACGCGCGCUACAAUGACACGUUCAACGAGUUUCUUCCUGGUCCUGACGGAUUCGGGUAAUCUUCAUAGUACGUGUCGUGCUUUGGGAUAGUCCUUCGCAAUUAUAGGACUUAAACUAGGAAUACCUAGUAUAGGUAAGUCAUCAGCUUGCCUAGAUUAUGUCCCUGCCCUUUGUACACACCGCCCGUCGCUCCUACCGAUUUUGAGUGAUUAGGUGAACCUUCUGGAUCAGAGUAGUCUUCAAGGCUGUUCUGAGAAGUUAAGUAAAUCAUUAUCACUUAGAGGAAGGAGAAGUCGUAACAAGGUUUCCGUAGGUGAACCUGCGGAAG
rnacentral:rRNA from 1 species